rnacentral:rRNA from 1 species
GACGAACGCUGGCGGCGGGCUUAACACAUGCAAGUCGAACGGAAAGGCCCUGCUUUUGUGGGGUGCUCGAGUGGCGAACGGGUGAGUAACACGUGAGUAACCUGCCCUUGACUUUGGGAUAACUUCAGGAAACUGGGGCUAAUACCGGAUAGGAGCUCCUGCUGCAUGGUGGGGGUUGGAAAGUUUCGGCGGUUGGGGAUGGACUCGCGGCUUAUCAGCUUGUUGGUGGGGUAGUGGCUUACCAAGGGUUUGACGGGUAGCCGGCCUGAGAGGGUGACCGGCCACAUUGGGACUGAGAUACGGACCAGACUCCUACGGGAGGCAGCAGUGGGGAGUAUUGCACAAUGGGCGGAAGCCGGUUGCAGCAACGCCGCGUGCGGGAUGACGGCCUUCGGGUUGUAAACCGCUUUCGCCUGUGACGAAGCGUGAGUGACGGUAAUGGGUAAAGAAGCACCGGCUAACUACGUG